rnacentral:rRNA from 1 species
GAAGGCGCUCUGCUGGGCCAUUACUGACGCUCAUGGACGAAAGCCAGGGGAGCGAAAGGGAUUAGAUACCCCUGUAGUCCUGGCCGUAAACGAUGAACACUAGGUGUCGGGGGAAUCGACCCCUUCGGUGUCGUAGCUAACGCGUUAAGUGUUCCGCCUGGGGAGUACGCACGCAAGUGUGAAACUCAAAGGAAUUGACGGGGGCCCGCACAAGCGGUGGAGUAUGUGGUUUAAUUCGAUGCAACGCGAAGAACCUUACCAGGGUUUGACAUCCUGCGAAUCUCUUGGAAACAGGAGAGUGCCUUCGGGAACGCAGUGACAGGUGGUGCAUGGCUGUCGUCAGCUCGUGUCGUGAGAUGUUGGGUUAAGUCCCGCAACGAGCGCAACCCACGUCUUUAGUUGCCAGCAUUUAGUUGGGCACUCUAGAGAGACUGCCGGUGAUAAACCGGAGGAAGGUGUGGAUGACGUCAAGUCAUCAUGCCCCUUACAUCCUGGACUACACACGUACUACAAUGCUACGGACAAAGGGCAGCAAGUUCGCGAGGACAAGCAAAUCCCAUAAACCGUGGCUCAGUUCAGAUCGUAGGCUGCAACUCGCCUACGUGAAGGCGGAAUCGCUAGUAAUCGCAGGUCAGCAUACUGCGGUGAAUACGUUCCCGGGCCUUGUACACACCGCCCGUCACACCAUGGAAGUUGGCCACGCCCGAAGCCGUUACUCCAACCCUUGUGGAGGAGGACGUCGAAGGUGGGGCUGAUGACUGGGGUGAAGUCGUAACAAGGUAACCGUA